ensembl:snoRNA small nucleolar RNA SNORA48
AACUCCUGGAAAUGGGCAAAGAGAUACCUUGUGGUGGUAUAGUUCUUACAUCAGCCAGGGGCAGAGCAGAUGUCAGUCCUUUGUUCAUCCUAGCUUGAUGCCUAACUUGGUGGCCAAAGCUGUUUCAUGCCUAGGGCACAUUU